UACGUAGGGGGCAGGCGUUGUCCGGAAUCAUUGGGCGUAAAGAGCGCGUAGGCGGUCCGGUAAGUCCGCUCUGAAAGUCCGGGGGCUCAACCCCGGGAGGCGGGCGGAUACUGUCGGGCUAGAGUCCGGAAGAGGCGAGUGGAAUUCCUGGUGUAGCGGUGAAAUGCGCAGAUAUCGAGGAGACACCAUAGGCGAAGGCAGCUGCGGCUGGACGG
rnacentral:rRNA from 1 species